rnacentral:rRNA from 1 species
AUGUCCACCUCCAGCCAAACUCCAUCCAUUGCCCUUACCAACACCACAUCCGAGCCCCUCACAAGAACCAACUACAUCCUAUGGAGAGCCCAAGUUCGCUCCCAGAUCAUGGGUGCUGGGCUAUAUGGGUAUAUAGAUCAAACCACACCCGAGCCAAACAAAACCAUCAUCACCAAGACCUCAGAAGGAAAGGAUCAAAUCGCUCCUAACCCUGAAUACAAACCAUGGCUGAUUCAAGAUCAGCAGAUCGUAGCCUUCCUCCUUCGUAAUCUCUCGAAGGAGGUCCUGAUUCAAGUUGCCUCCCUAGAAACCUCGCAUGCCAUAUGGUCAGCCCUAGCAAAUAUGUUCGCUACCCAAUCCCGUUCUCGUGUGAACAACUGCCGC